GAUGAACGCUGGCGGCGUGCCUAAUACAUGCAAGUCGAGCGAACAGACGAGGAGCUUGCUCCUCUGACGUUAGCGGCGGACGGGUGAGUAACACGUGGAUAACCUACCUAUAAGACUGGGAUAACUUCGGGAAACCGGAGCUAAUACCGGAUAAUAUAUUGAACCGCAUGGUUCAAUAGUGAAAGACGGUUUUGCUGUCACUUAUAGAUGGAUCCGCGCCGCAUUAGCUAGUUGGUAAGGUAACGGCUUACCAAGGCAACGAUGCGUAGCCGACCUGAGAGGGGGAACGGCCACACUGGAACUGAGACCCGGUCCAGCCCCCUAGGGGAGGCAGCAGGAGGGAAUUUUCCGAAAUGGGCGAAAGCCUGACGGAGCAACGCCGGGUGAGUGAUGAAGGUUUUCGGAUCGUAAAACUUUGUUAUUAGGGAAGAACAAAUGGGAAAGUAACUAUGCACGUCUUGACGGUACCAAAUCAGAAAGCCACGGCUAACUCCGU
rnacentral:rRNA from 1 species